CCAUAUCAUAUGAUACUACCAUUUUGGGAACAUUUACACACACAGAAUACAGAUUUUAUUCUGCACAUAUGUGAUAAUUUAUGUACAGAAAUUCAAUGCAUCACAUGGUUCAGAUACAGCUGCCUGUGAUUAUACACUUGGCCAGUAGGGGGUUUGUGUGCACAUGAAGCUUCGAGAAAUGAACCCGUUCUCGAACCAAUUGGCUCGAUGCCUCAUCCUUUGAUUUCAAGUGACUAACUCUCAAUCAAUUGGAGCUGUAUUAUAAUUUCCUUCUCCUCCACCACGGUUGUACUGGUCUCCGCCCGCUCCCUCACCAGCGAUUGAGCUCUUUUUAUACCCCCUGGUGACUAAUUGGACCGGACCAAUACCAUCUAUAGAGUUGGUAUUUCCCAGACCUAUAAAGCGGUGGUCAUGGACGCUGAGAAGUCAGUUGCCAGAUCACCCUGGGGAGAGGAGACCUGUUCCAGAGAUCCCUGUAACAGGAUCUAAAGAGCGGGAGCGCGCUGUUACAUUCAACCCCAUGUAUUAAUUUACUUCUCCGGUCAUGGACCAAGACACAUGUAACAGGAUCUAAAGAGCGUGGCGAGCUGUAAGUCGGUGGAAUAAUGUUAUAUAUCGUUUCCCUAAGUGCUUCUUUACUAACCAUUUAUUUUCUAGGUACUUGGAUCGCAGACGGUGUGCAGCUCUAACGGACGUGGAUAUAUUUUCAAGUGUUUUUUAAUUUUUUUAAAUGUGCUGGAUCUAAAGAGCUUUGGAUUAUUUUUGGUUUAAUGUAAGUAGAAAUGUUGACUAGGUACAGUUUUUGUAUUUAUUUUUUAAAUUGUUCUUUGAUGAAUGUGAAUAAAGUUGUUAUUUUCA